rnacentral:tRNA from 1 species
AAAUAGGAAGUGAACUAUCACACCCAAUUUCGACUUGGCAUUUGACUUAAUGUCCCUAUUUA